AAAGUCUAACCUGCCCUAUGAAAUAAAAUUUAAAUGGCCGCGAUAUCUUGAUCGUGCAAAGGUAGCAUAAUAAUUAGUUUUUUAAUUAAGAACUGGAAUGAAUGGUCCUACGAGAAAAAAACUGUCUCAAUUUAAUUUAAAUUAGAAUUUUAUUUUUAAGUAAAAAAGCUUAAAUAUACUUAAAAGACGAGAAGACCCUAUAGAGUUUUAUAUAUUAUUAUUAUUUUAAAAUAAAAGAAUUUUAUAUUUAAUAUAAUUAUAAAUAUAUUUGAUUGGGGUGAUUAAAAAAUUAAUUAAACUUUUUUUUAAAAAAUAUAAUCAUUAAUUUAUGAUUAAUUGAGCCA
rnacentral:rRNA from 1 species